GAUGAAGAACGUAGCGAAAUGCGAUAAGUAAUGUGAAUUGCAGAAUUCAGUGAAUCAUCGAAUCUUUGAACGCAUCUUGCGCUCCUUGGUAUUCCGAGGAGCAUGCCUGUCCGAGCGUCAUUGCUGCCCUCAAGCACGGCUUGUGUGUUGGGCCUCCGUCCUCCUCCCGGGGGACGGGCCCGAAAGGCAGCGGCGGCACCGCGUCCGGUCCUCGAGCGUAUGGGGCUUCGUCACCCGCUCUUGUAGGCCCGGCCGGCGCUUGCCGACACAUCAAUCUUUUUUCCAGGUUGACCUCGGAUCAGGUAGGGAUACCCGCUGAACUUAAGCAUAUCAAUAAGCGGAGGA
rnacentral:misc_RNA from 1 species